rnacentral:rRNA from 1 species
UACGUAGGGUGCGAGCGUUAAUCGGAAUUACUGGGCGUAAAGCGUGCGCAGGCGGUUUUGUAAGGCAGGUGUGAAAUCCCCGGGCUCAACCUGGGAAUGGCAUUUGGGACUGCAAGGCUGGAGUGCGGCAGAGGAGACUGGAAUUCCUGGUGUAGCAGUGAAAUGCGUAGAUAUCAGGAGGAACACCUGUGGCGAAAGCGGCGCACUGGACCACAACUGACGCUGAGGCGCGAAAGCUAGGGGAGCAAACGGG